UACGUAGGGAGCAAGCGUUGUUCGGAUUUACUGGGCGUAAAGGGCGCGUAGGCGGCAACUCAAGUCAUCUGUGAAAUCUCCGGGCUUAACUCGGAACGGUCAGAUGAUACUGUUUUGCUAGAGUGCAGAAGGGGCAAUCGGAAUUCUUGGUGUAGCGGUGAAAUGCGUAGAUAUCAAGAGGAACACCUGAGGUGAAGACGGGUUGCUGGGCUGACACUGACGCUGAGGCGCGAAAGCAUGGGGAGCGAACAGG
rnacentral:rRNA from 1 species